rnacentral:lncRNA from 1 species
GGGCCCUCCUCCUCCUAACCUCCAUAGAGACACAUCGGUAUUUGCGCACGAACUGCAACUGCAGAUAAAUAGACAAUAAUUAGAUGCACUAGCGAUAAAUUUAAAAAUAAAAAAUAAAAUUAUGAGAGGCCAAUAUCAUGGGAGUGCUCCAUGCACUAUCGGGUCUAGUCCUCUUCCUAGCUGCCCUACUCAUUCCACCUUCAUCUCUCUCUAUGUGGCAGCUAGAAGGUC